UAGGGAAUCUUCCACAAUGGACGCAAGUCUGAUGGAGCAACGCCGCGUGAGUGAAGAAGGUUUUUGGAUCGUAAAGCUCUGUUGUUGGUGAAGAAGGAUAGAGGCAGUAACUGGUCUUUAUUUGACGGUAAUCAACCAGAAAGUCACGGCUAACUACGUGCCAGCAGCCGCGGUAAUACAUAGGUGGCAAGCGUUGUCCGGAUUUAUUGGGCGUAAAGCGAGCGCAGGCGGAAUGAUAAGUCUGAUGUGAAAGCCCACGGCUCAACCGUGGAACUGCAUCGGAAACUGUCAUUCUUGAGUGCAGAAGAGGAGAGUGGAAUUCCAUGUGUAGCGGUGGAAUGCGUAGAUAUAUGGAAGAACACCAGUGGCGAAGGCGGCUCUCUGGUCUGCAACUGACGCUGAGGCUCGAAAGCAUGGGUAGCGAACAGG
rnacentral:rRNA from 1 species